AAAUGAACAGAGGAACAGGCACAUUGUGGCAGAGCUCCAGAGAGCUGUGGUGGAAAUGAAGGACCAGCCCUCCACCACCUGGAAGAGAAAUGACGGCAGACACAGGAACACUAGAAUGCCCAUCACCAGGAAGAAGAGAAGGGUCAGAAACUUGAUCUUCUUCUGAAAAAUAAACCAACACAAAUUGCAAUCCACUUGGACACAUGAGGAAAUCCUACACAACGUAUGACAUUUACAAGUAGAAAUUGGGCUAAAGGAAAGGAAACCGGACAACCGUAGUACCCACACUGGAGAGAGCGAGGAUAUAUUCCUCUCUGCACAGCGUCAGUCAGGUUCUGCGAGCGAAACCCACGUUUGAUAUGAACACCUCCCUGUUUUCA